rnacentral:lncRNA from 1 species
CAAGACGAACAUAUUAAUAAAGAAAAGAAAAGGAUUAAAAAAACAAAGAAUAACCGAAUAAAGAGUUAAACAGAUAAAAAACAAAAUGCAAAAGAAACAUUUUAUAUAUAAAAAAAUGUUUAUACAAAUUUUAAAACUAAUAAAAAAAAUAAACUAGUACGAUAUGUAUAUACAUCCUUGCGCUCGAGACAUUUAAUUUACUAGAUUAAUAAAUAAUAUAUAUGAAACACAUACGAACAAAUACAAGUAUAUCUUCUUGUAUUACACUGAGCACAAACACAUACUUUAUAAUUAAUCAAAUGUAAAAUUAUUUAACCAAUUAAUAUUUGUCUACUAAAAUAAAACACAAAAUUGAUAAAUAAGGACUACCAAAUGAAUAAAGAAUAUAAAAAUAUAUAAAUAAUAAAUAAAUAAUGAAAAAUUGAUAAAAUAUUUUACAAGAAAAACUAGUUAAAUGAAACACUUACAAACAUGUAAUUUUUUGAAUGUAAAUAAACAGGUUAGUAAAAAAUUAAAAACACAAUUAUUAUUUAAUUAUAGAAAAGAUAAAAUCAGUCAAUAUAUAAGAGUCUUUCAAAAUUUUAAUAAUAAAAAUGAAAAAUACAAAAAUGUAUUAACGAGUAAUAAUAUAAUACGUGAAUGUAAGAAUAUUUUAAAUUGUCAAGGUAAUCAUACUGUAAGAAUAGAUAAAAGUAAAAAGUUAUUUGUAUAUAAAAAUGUAAAUGAUAUAGCAGAAAAUCGAGAGCGGUUGCAAGGACAUGAACAAGGGAAAGAACAAGAACAAGGGCAUGAACAAGAACAAGGGCAAGGACAAGAACAAGGGCAAGGACAAGGACAAGAACAAGGGCAAGGACAAGAACAAGGGCAGGAACAAGAGCAGAAACAAGAGCAAGUACAAGCACAAUCGCAGGAACAAAAAAAAAGUCAACCAUCACCGACUCUGCUACAUACAAAAAUGAUAGAACAAUCUGAGCUUGUUAAAAGAAUAAGAAAGUAUUGCAGAACGGAUGAUUUAUGCAACAUAUACAAAUUUAAUGACAAUUUUUUACAUCUUCUAAAAUUGAAAAAGCUGAAUGAAAGUGAUUUUUCUAUUAUCAUUCAUUUGUUAUGUAAAAAAAAAUUUCAAGAUAAUAGUUUUUGGAGAAGUAUCGCAAACACUGAGAAUAUAAAUUAUAUUUUUAACAUGAAUCUUAAAAAAAUAAUUCUAUCAUUUUAUAGUGUUGUUAAUUCUUUUAAAUAUAUUCAUAUGAAUUUUUUACAUCAAUUUACCCAUAUUUUAAUUUUUAUUUUAUAUUGUCAAAAACAUUUUUUUUUAUUAAAUAGAGAGAAGAAAAAUAACGAAGAUGAAAAAAGAAAAAAAAUGAUUUCAGCGCUAUGCAAUUUUUAUUCGAAUAAUAAUUUGAAAAAAAUAAAUUUGCAUUUAACGAGUAAUUGGACAAAAGGGGAACAUAUAUACGCAAAAUUUACGGAUAAUGUAACUAAUAAUGUAAAUGGUAUUACUACUGCUACUGCUGCUACUGCUACUGCUACUGCUACUGUUACUGCUACUGCUACUGCUACUGCUGCUACUGCUACUGCUGCUACUGCUACUGCUACUACUACAACCAACACUACUAAUAGUAACAACGCUAUAAAUCAACUUGCGGUGAGCUAUGCACAAAACAAUAACAAUAAUUGGUCUAAAUUAAUAAGAGAAAUAACUAUAGAAAAUUUUAAUAGUAUUUUUAAUAAUCAAAAAAAUCAGUUAAAUUUUUUAGACUUAACAUUAAUAUGUAAUACAUAUUCCAAACUGAAUAAUAUACAACAAGUGGAAAAUAUAGAAGAGUUAAAAAAUAUAUUAUACAAAUUAUUUCUUUAUUUUUUAUUUUAUAAUAAUAACAUUGAUUAUAAUCAUUUAAUUUUAUUUAUUUACAGUUAUAACAAAAUCAAAGGAAAAAUAAACAAUUGUAUAUUGUUUAAAAUAAAACAUAUAUUACUCGAAGAUAAAAUAAGCAUAUAUACAUAUUUAGAUAGCACAUAUAAAUUUCCAUGUAUACUCACGUUAGAUAUAUGUUCACUCAAUUUGCUUAUGCAUGUAUUACAAUGGAAUAAUUUUAAAGACCUUGUAUUUUUAGAAAAAAUCAUACUUUCUUUUGUUAUUAACUUAAAUAUAAAUAAGACUAAAAAAUAUAAAACGAAGGAUGGUAUAUUAAGUAAUAAUGAUAAUCUGACAUGUGGUUCGAUAAGUUAUCCUUAUGUAUAUAUAAAUGAUAUUAAUGAUGAUGCAAUAAAUGGAGCUAAAGGUUUGAUAGCGAAUGAAGUUAUUAAUACGGUCACAAAUGAAACCACAAAUGAAGCCACAAAUGAAGCCACAAAUGAAGCCACAAAUGAAGCCACAAAUGAAGCCACAAAUGAAACCACUAAUACAAUUACAAACUAUGGCAAUACCAAACUCAUGAACACUAAAUUAUAUGGUAUACAACACAUUUAUAAUUUGAACAUAUUAAAAAGUAAAUUAAUGCUUAUGCAAUAUUUUAAUAAGAACAAUAACACAUAUACAUACACCCAAAAAGAAAAUUUAAUUAAAUUAAAAAAAAAGGACUUAUGUUUUUUAGCAUAUAAUAUAUAUAAAUUAAAUAUAAAAAAUUAUUAUAAUAUAUAUGAAUAUAUACAGAACGAAACUAUUAAUCAGAUACACAUUUUUAAUGUUUAUAAUUGUUGUAUAAUGUUACAUUGUUUGGUAAAUUUAAAAUUGUUGAAAAAUCAAAAAUUGUUUAACACUAUUUUCUCGCAUUUAAAAAUACAAUUUAAUAAAAACCAUUAUAAUGAAAAAGAUGUCAUUGAUAUUUUUGUAUCUUUUUUUAAAUAUGCACAAACUAAUCCUAGCAACAAUAAUGAAAUACAACUAUUUUUAAAAAAUGUAUAUACAAAUAUUGAGUUUAAAUUAAAAAAGUAUAAUUAUAUGAAUACGAUUGAUAUAUUUUGUUCUGCCUCUUAU